CCGGGAAACUGGGUAUAAUACCCGAUAGGUCUCGAUUGCUGGAAUGCAUCGAGAUUUAAAGCUCCGGCGCCUAAGGAUGGGUCUGCGGCCUAUCAGGUAGUAGUGGGUGUAGCGUACCUACUAGCCUACGACGGGUACGGGUUGUGAGAGCAAGAGCCCGGAGAUGGAUUCUGAGACACGAAUCCAGGCCCUACGGGGUGCAGCAGGCGCGAAAACUUUACAAUGCUGGCAACAGCGAUAAGGGAACCUCGAGUGCCAGGUUACAAAUCUGGCUGUCGAGAUGCCUAAAAAGCAUUUCAUAGCAAGGGCCGGGCAAGACCGGUGCCAGCCGCCGCGGUAACACCGGCGGCUCGAGUGGUAACCGUUAUUAUUGGGUCUAAAGGGUCUGUAGCCGGCCGGAUAAGUCUCUUGAGAAAUCUGGCAGCUUAACUGUCAGGCUUUCAGGAGAUACUGUCUGGCUCGAGGCCGGGAGAGGUGAGAGGUACUUCAGGGGUAGGGGUGAAAUCUUGUAAUCCUUGAAGGACCACCAGUGGCGAAGGCGUCUCACCAGAACGGACCUGACGGCAAGGGACGAAAGCUAGGGGCACGAACCGGAUUAGAUACCCGGGUAGUCCUAGCCGUAAACGAUACUCGCUAGGUGUCGGCCACGGUGCGACCGUUGUCGGUGCCGUAGGGAAGCCGUGAAGCGAGCCACCUGGGAAGUACGGCCGCAAGGCUGAAACUUAAAGGAAUUGGCGGGGGAGCACAA
rnacentral:rRNA from 1 species